CUUGGGGGUGCAAGAGUCUGCAUAAACUGGGAUUUUUGAUUAGGUAGCAGUGUGUGCUCACUCCCAUCACUCAAAUGUGUCUUGAGUUUUAAAUGUCAUGGGUCUACUUCUUUGGGACAUGGGCUAUUAAUAGCAACUAGCUCCACAGGCAUAAAUAUUUUCAUUAAAACCACUUUUUACAUUCACAAACUGAAAGUGAUUACAGGUGAGGAAUGCCAUUAUGACCGGCUGCAGUUCUAGCUCAUCCAACUCAGAUGUGGUGGAAGAAUGGUCCUAUGGUGAAGGCAGUAGAGUAUGAGUUGAGAGUUCUGUGUUCAGUUCUGUGUUCUGCCAUUGACUUCCUGGAUGAUGUUGGCUCUUGGGGACAGGUCCUUUUUGGGAUUCCCUCUGAGACCUUUCCACUUGACUGAUCCAGAACACCUUGAAAAGCUCUGGAAGAACAGUUCGUCCAGUUGUCUGGGACCAAAAAACACAGUUUGACUUCAGCUCUUUACUCAGGUCUACAGAGGCAUUUGGAGGAGGAGGAGAGAAGGUUUUUGGAGAAGACGAGGGAACCUGUUCCAGCUCUGGGGAUCUGCAUGCUGGAGGAAAGAAAGACAAGAAUGGGAGAACGAAGAGCAAAGAGAUGGAGAGAGAAUUGGAAAGAGUAUAAGGAGGAAAUGAGAGCAGAUACGGUCUUCAAGAUGCAGAUGACAAGGUGGAAUUUGAUCUAGUAAGAGUAGUAGUGCUUUAUUUCAUUCUUCCCGGUUUACCCCUUUUUCCUGGUACUAACUAAGAUUCUAAACAAGAUAGGACCUUGACAGUGAUCCCUGGCAAUCUAGGAUUUGGGAAUGAGUCCAUCUUUAGUUAAUUCAUUAAUGUUUGUAAAAUGCUUUCAGGUCCUUGGGUGGAAGGUGCUAUGAAGCAAUCUUCAGUGGGGAACAUCUCUUGUGGUUGAAGUUAUUCUAAUGAGCUGUUCAUGACUUCUGUAUAAAACUCUGUCUGUCUUUGAAAGUUUGCUCAGCGGUUAUCACUGUGUCUUCACUCAUUAGUCUCUGAUGGUGUGUGAGAUCUUUAAUAGGCUUCAGACUAACUUCUUAUAUGCUGUAUGAUUUAACUCUACUAUUAGUCUGAGAGUGCCAGUAAAAAAAAAAAUCAAAAUGUUGAAGGCAUGCAAUCAAGCUUCUUCCUGUUCUAUCUAAACACACAUGGCCCUACUCCCUGUAGCAUCUCAAUA